GAGAGAAUCAGGGCCUAAGAGGCCUGUAUUUGGAGAGCAAGCAGGACUCUUUCCUGUUCCAAAAUACUUGCCAAAGCCAUGUCUGAAAUGUCAGGAAGGAGCACAUUUCUAAUUUGACAGGUCAGCAAAAACAGUCACUUAGCUGAGAAGAAAUGAGACUGUGAGCUGACUUUCUCCUUCCUUCUUCCUCCUCAGGAUUUACUGGUCUUAGGCCCUCAGAUCCAAGGAUGGUUCAGGACCACUCUAUUAGGAAGUGAGCUUUUCAGUGCCUGGUCCAACUGCUCCACAUCUUCAGAGCUGAGACAAAUCCCCCCACUCUUAUGGCAUCUACAAGGGUCAUGAAGUCCAGUGGCAGGAUACAAGUCAAGAUGACAAGUGAUGGUCCAGGAUACAGGCCAAAUUCAGAGAAUGGAGACAAUCACUUAUGGCUAGGGUAGCAUUUGAACUAGGACUUGAGGGAUGGUUAACAUUUUGAUAAGUCAAGAUAGGGACAAAGGUCAUUUCAUUCAUUCAGCAAAUACUUAUUAAGUGAAAAGCAAUGUUCUAGGUGCUGAAGAUAAUAAGGACAAAUAAAAAGCACUCCCUGCUCUCAAGAAGUUUAUGGUCUACUGGAGGCUACAUCAUAUAAACAGAUAAAUUCAAGAUAGUCUGAUGAAGGAGAAAGAGGCAUUAACAACUAGGUGGAUUAGAACAGGCUUCUCAUGGGAAGUAAUACCUAAGGUAGACCUUGAAGGUAUCUAUGGAUUCUAAGAGGCCAGGGUGAGAAGUCAAUGCAAUCCAAGCCUGGUAUGUGGCCUGAUAGAAGAGAUGGGUUUAAGGUCUCUCAGUUGCCCUUAACAUGAUUUAGCUUGUCUGCUGAGAUGGUUUUACAGGAGUGUGGCUGCUGAGCAUGCUACAGCUUUUUGGAUCCACAGGAGAGAGUUUAGUCACUAGUGGACACCAAAGGUGCAUGAGCAGACCUGAAAAGGAGUCAGCAAACCCUCACACCAGAGGUGCUGAUCCUUCCUAAGCACCCCAUUAGCCCCAUUUUAUUAUAUAGUUACAAAUUUAUCAGCAGUGAUCCCAUGGAGCAUGUGCUUUGGAUCCAUGGAGAUGGACCUCUUGCUAAAGCGACCUUUUGCUAAAGGAGAGGUGCUUUGCUUUGGGAUAAUGCAGCAAUCCCUUUUUGGUACCCAUGACUGGAAGGCAUGUCAAAGAAGAUUGAGCUAGGUAAAGUCACUAGCUCUAUGGGUUAUAAAGAGUAAAAAGAGAGACAGUUUCUUCUCUCCUUCAAGGUAGCCUCUUUGUUGGAAUAAAACCAAUUCCAGCUCUCUCUAGGAUGUCUAGAAAGCUACAGGUGGGGAGAGGGGUUCCUUCUCCUUCCCUUCCACCUCCCCUACUCUUCUGACAGUAAUGGCAACUGCAGGUACAUGGCAGCAAGAACGUGUGCUUGCCUAGGGGAGUUUGAGCCUGAAAUCCCUGAACAUGAAGUCCCUGGCUGCUUCUUCUGGUCUGUUUACUUUCCCUCAGCCCAGGUCACAGACAGCUUUCCUGAGAAAGACACAUUUCGAGGCCUGGCGGUAACCUUGUGAGUUCAAGAAGCUAGGAGUUUCUGAGGGUACUGGCUGCCAGAUUCCCACAACGGAACCAUUUCUUGGAGGAGAAGCAUCACUUCCAGGAGGAUGCUGCAUCUGAAAGAACUAAGAAAACCUAAGCCAUGCCCUACUUUUACCAGGGCAUCAGGACUUAAGACUUUCACAGUGUAGGUCUAAGGUGAAUGAGAAAUAUUUUUGCCUUUAACUUUCAUAACAGUAUACUAGGUGAUGGAUUACUACAUCAUAAUUUAUGACUUGUUAAUGCACUUGUAUGAGUCUUUUGGGUUUUAAGCAUUUCUUUUAUGGUGGGAGAAAUAAAUAACUAUCCUA